rnacentral:lncRNA from 1 species
GAGUGGUCAGGCUGAGAACAGUGACACUGGAGAUGCGCGUUCAUGUGAAUUCUCCAUGUUUUUCUUUCUCUCUUUGAAUGAAUACAACGUCGCCCGGUUGGAAUAUUAUCGCUAUUUUACAAGAAAAAUCGCAUAAAAAAUGAUUUUAAACAGCGUUUGACAUGCUUCGAAGUACGGUAAUGGAAUAUUUAGACAUUUUUUGUCACGAAAUGCACUCGGAUACUGACCUGAACGCACAAACAGAACGGAGGUAUUUGGAUAAGACUAUGGAUUAUUUCGAACCAAAACAACAUUUGUUGUUGAAGUAGAAUUCCUGGGAGUGCAUUCUGAUGAAGACAGCAAAGGAAGCAUCUCAGGACUUGGUGGACGAGCAGUAUGUGUUCCGGAAGGGUAUUGGAGAAGAUCAAGAUGUCGUUGAGUCGAUACAGGGACUUCGAAGAAGAAUACUGCACCAGCAGGGGA